GGGCCGGUAGAUCAACGGUAGAUCGCGACGUUCGCAUCGUCGAGGCUUCGGGUUCGAAUCCCGACCGGUCCA
rnacentral:tRNA from 1 species